GAUGAACGCUGGCGGCGUGCCUAAUACAUGCAAGUCGAGCGAACAGACGAGGAGCUUGCUCCUCUGACGUUAGCGGCGGACGGGUGAUUAACACGUGGAUAACCUACCUAUAAGACUGGGAUAACUUCGGGAAACAGGAGCUAAUACCGGAUAAUAUAUUGAACUGCAUGGUUCAAUAGUGAAAGACGGUUUUGCUGUCACUUAUAGAUGGCUCCGCGCCGCAUUAGCUAGUUGGUAAGGUAACGGCUUACCAAGGCAACGAUGGGUAGCCGACCUGAAAGGGUGGUCGGCCAGACUGGAACUGAGACACGGUCCAGACACCUACGGGAGGAAGCAGUAGGGAAUCUUCCGCAAUGGGCGAAAGCCUGACAGAGCAACGUCGCGUGAGUGAUGAAGGUCUUCGGAUCGUAAAACUCUGUAAUUAGUGAAGAACAAAUGUUUAAGUAACUAUGAACGUCUUGACGGUACCUAAUCAGAAAGCCACGGCUAACUACGUG
rnacentral:rRNA from 1 species